rnacentral:lncRNA from 1 species
GGCUGCUCAAGGGGCUGAUAUCAUAAUGUUCCCUCCACCAUCAUAAUCCCCCACGUGAGGGUCCAAGACAUUAUCUUUGCUUCCUUGCCUUCAUGCCAACUGCAAUUCUGGUUUCUUUCGUGUGCUUGUAUCCUAUUUGUCUAGGUGAAUUAAUGUAUAUCCUUCAAAAUCGGAAGAAUGAUAUUAUGUGAACCUCUGUGAGAUCUACAACCACCAAGCAGGUAUGGACAUCGCCUCUCUUCCUCCUAGCCCUUCUAAGUUGCUGAACAAACUUGCAAUGGAUUAGCAACUGGACAGCAUGAACCACGUGAUACAUGUGGUAAGCAAUCCAAACAAUUAAAAAAAAAAACAAUUCAAACAACUUGACAGCAUGAAAGUUAACGGGCAUAGAUGCCGCGUGGUAUUUACCUUGCAAGCAUCCCUUCAGGCAUAUACUGCAUACUAAAUAUAUGUCAUCGAAAUUCAGUUUGAUACCUGGAAUUUGCAAAGUUGUCCAUAAGAUAUUCAGCUCAAUGCUUUUUGUGGACAUGACUAAUUUUGAAUUAUCUCUCUCAAGGGCAUGGCUAUCAAAUCCGGUGUGC